CAGCAGCCACGGGAAUACGUAGGGGGCUAGCGUUGUUCGGAAUUACUGGGCGUAAAGCGCACGUAGGCGGCUUGGUAAGUUAGAGGUGAAAGCCCGGAGCUCAACUCCGGAAUUGCCUUUAAGACUGCCGAGCUAGUAGGUGAGAGAGGUAAGUGGAAUUCCGAGUGUAGAGGUGAAAUUCGUAGAUAUUCGGAAGAACACCAGUGGCGAAGGCGGCUUACUGGCUCAUUCUAGACGCUGAGGUGCGAAAGCGUGGGGAGCAAACAGGAUUAGAUACCCCUGUAGUCCCUGUCUCUUAUAU
rnacentral:rRNA from 1 species